GCUGGGGGAGGCCGGCGGACACAGCGAGGACAAAGUGUCCCCUCGCGGCUCCGGCGCCCACAGUCCGGUCCGGCUCCGGCGCUCGGCGCUGCGCCGCGGGGAACUCGGCGCCCGGAGACCGUCUCAAUCCCCAGCCGCGCGACGGCUGCCCUCCCUCACCUUCCUCCCCGCGGCCCGCCCCGGGUCCCGGUCUUUAAAUACCCCCACUUCGCGCUGCGGACGGCGGCGGUAACAGCAGCUGGAAGCCGGGGCUGUCCCCUGUCCCUCCGUGGCCCGCGCCUGGCUGCCUCCGGGGCCCCCGGCCGGAAAGAAGCGUCGAGUCCCCGGCGCCCCACUGGCUCCUUGCCUCUGGGUGCCGUGGCCGUCCGGACACGCGUGUGCGCGCGCCCCACUCUUCCACGCACGCAGCCCGGGGGCCUGGGCGAGGAGUGUGAGACCGCCGUCACAGCACGCUCCCGAGGAAGCAGCGGCCCGCAGCACCAGCCACCGAGACGUGGGAACGCGACAAUUACCGUCCAGACAAAUCCACACCCGCUCUCCCCGCCCGCCCGACUCUCGGGGAGGCCCCGGGACGCCGCCGCAGCACUAGCCGGAGGAGGAGACCACUCGCUGGACACCCCACCCCUGGAGCAUACACACAGAGACCCAGGCGAGGGGCGGGCCCGGGGGCGGGGCCGCCCUGCCGCCUCGCCAAUCUCGCGCGCUCGCGCACUGCCCGACAGCGGACGGAGCCAAUGGGCGGGAGGUGCCCGCCCUCCUCGCGCUCCCACCCCGUCCACGUCCUCCACAGUACACAAUGGCCCCAAAGGAAGGCCCGCUCGCUGCGCGUCCCAAAUAGAAGGAGGCUUAGAGAAAUCGGCCUGGACUCCCCAGGGAACAAAAGUGGGAAAGGGAAAGGAAAUGAAAGAAACUACACCAGGCACCAGGGAGCUAACCAAUAAGGGGUGGGCAGGUGGGCGUGAACAUAGGGAGCGGGAGCCCAAGCUGACUGGGGCUACGAGGCGGGACUUCCUGCUUCGCUCACCUUCCCCGUCUUUUGUUUCAUAG
rnacentral:lncRNA from 1 species